CCUAAUAGAGAGAGCCGCAUAGGAAAAUAGAAAGAAGAAUCGCUGCACAACUAGGUCGCUGAAAUCAGGUCAAACCCGUGUAGCAGUCUGCGAUUGCUUUCGCCGGUUGCCGCUAACGGUGGCGGAAGAGAGAUCGAGACCGGUGCCGAAGGAGAACAACGACAAUCAUGAUUCAUCUCUAUUUGCCUCAAGACUGUCUCCACCAUACGCUCCGUUGGUGCCUCCGUCGCCGCUUCAAUUUCCUAUGCUUCUGAGGAUCACAAAGAUCAGGGAACCUGGGCUGGAUUUGAUAAACUAGAGAUUGAUCAAUCUACCUCCAAACAUGUCAUGUUACUUGGUUAUCUAAACGGGUUUCAAGUACUUGAUAUGCGGCUGAUAUGGUUGAGUUUGAUUCAUUGAAGAGGAGUGGAGAUGAACUAGGGUUUCCCUCAACAAAAUUCAAUGCCCUGCUACCGUGUCUAUUCAGAAGAUAAACAUGAAGAUUAAGUAGGAAAGAGGCACAAGAUACUCUUAAGGCAAGGAUUUUCACAAAUCGAAGGUGGCUAGGACAUCGAUGUUUCCUGCGACUUCAUAUAGUCCACCUGAAUAUUCUUUGAGUCAAGAUGUGAUUGCAACUAUAGGGAAGAGUAUGAAAAGUUCUGCAGACAACCUCAUGCAGUGGCUAGAGGGAUUUAGUUCAAGGCUAUCCAAGUUGGAAUCAUGCUGCUAUAAUCUUAACAAAUCCAUUGGAUAAAUGAAAUCUGAAUUAAAUCUUGACCACGGGGUGCAAGAUUUAAAGCUCAAAUCUCUUGAAAAUCACCUUCAAGAAGUAAGUCACAACUUGAAUUGAUAAUAUCUGUAAUAGCAUUCUAGCAUUCAAGUUAUAAUACUCUAUGGUUUCAUUCAUUUUGAUGUUAUUGAUGAAUUGUUAGAGUUCUAGGUUUCACAAAUACAAUAGGUGUAUUGAGGUGUAUUGCACUAAUGGUACUGUCCUCGUACAGUAGGUGUAUUGUCCUCAUAGUCCGAAGAUCUUUUGUCAUGGAUGUGCAAGAUUCUAUUAUACUCUGUUCAUGUC